GUAGGUGGCAAGCGUUGUCCGGAAUUAUUGGGCGUAAAGCGCGCGCAGGCGGUUCUUUAGGUCUGAUGUGAAAGCCCACGGGCUCAACCGUGGAGGGUCAUUGGAAACUGGAGAACUUGAGUACAGAAGAGGAAAGCGGAAUUCCACGUGUAGCGGUGAAAUGCGUAGGGAUGUGGAGGAACACCAGUGGCGAAGGCGGCUUUCUGGUCUGUAACUGACGCUGAGGCGCGAAAGCGUGGGGAGCAAACAGGAUUAGAUACCCUGGUAGUCCACGCCGUAAACGAUGAGUGCUAAGUGUUAGGGGGUUUCCGCCCCUUAGUGCUGCAGCUAACGCAUUAAGCACUCCGCCUGGGGAGUACGGCCGCAAAGGCUG
rnacentral:rRNA from 1 species